rnacentral:lncRNA from 1 species
AAGGCGCCCCUUUGCAAUCAGUGGUUACUAACCAUUUCCAUAGUCAAAAAGGUUCGAGGGGCCUUGGAUUUUCCUCAAUCAGUCUAUGGUUUUUUAAGAUUUGUAAGUAGAAAUUUUUUAUCACAUAGCCCUUGUUAUUAGCUUUCCAAAAAGCUAAAGCUUGAUCAAUUUGGAGUUGAACCGAAUUUUUGGUGAAUUUUUGAGUGCAAAAAGAGCAGCCGCCUUAGCAGUUUUAGUAAUCCAACUUUGAAAAUGCAUUUCUCAGUGUCACUUAUUAGGAUCGUUUUAAAAUUUUGGAAAUAAAAACAACUUAAAAUUAAGCUUCUAUUGGCAUAGAUUUUAUUGAAUUUGAAGCAAUUGUGAAAUUUUAAAAAAAAAUU